ACGGGUGAGUAAUGUCUGGGAAACUGCCUGAUGGAGGGGGAUAACUACUGGAAACGGUAGCUAAUACCGCAUAACGUCGCAAGACCAAAGAGGGGGACCUUCGGGCCUCUUGCCAUCAGAUGUGCCCAGAUGGGAUUAGCUAGUAGGUGGGGUAACGGCUCACCUAGGCGACGAUCCCUAGCUGGUCUGAGAGGAUGACCAGCCACACUGGAACUGAGACACGGUCCAGACUCCUACGGGAGGCAGCAGUGGGGAAUAUUGCACAAUGGGCGCAAGCCUGAUGCAGCCAUGCCGCGUGUAUGAAGAAGGCCUUCGGGUUGUAAAGUACUUUCAGCGGGGAGGAAGGCGAUAAGGUUAAUAACCUUGUCGAUUGACGUUACCCGCAGAAGAAGCACCGGCUAACUCCGUGCCAGCAGCCGCGGUAAUACGGAGGGUGCAAGCGUUAAUCGGAAUUACUGGGCGUAAAGCGCACGCAGGCGGUCUGUCAAGUCGGAUGUGAAAUCCCCGGGCUCAACCUGGGAACUGCAUUCGAAACUGGCAGGCUAGAGUCUUGUAGAGGGGGGUAGAAUUCCAGGUGUA
rnacentral:rRNA from 1 species